GACAGAGGGUGCGAACGUUGUUCGGAAUUACUGGGCGUAAAGCGCAUGUAGGCUGUCGUGAAAGUCGGGUGUGAAAGCCCAGGGCUCAACCCUGGAAGUGCACUCGAAACUGCAUUGACUAGAAUCUCGGAGAGGGUAGCGGAAUUCUGGGUGUAGAGGUGAAAUUCGUAGAUAUCCAGAGGAACACCGGUGGCGAAGGCGGCUACCUGGACGAGUAUUGACGCUGAGAUGCGAAAGCGUGGGGAGCAAACAGG
rnacentral:rRNA from 1 species